rnacentral:rRNA from 1 species
GGGAUCAUUACACAAAUAUGAAGGCGGGCUGGAACCUCUCGGGGUUACAGCCUUGCUGAAUUAUUCACCCUUGUCUUUUGCGUACUUCUUGUUUCCUUGGUGGGUUCGCCCACCACUAGGACAAACAUAAACCUUUUGUAAUUGCAAUCAGCGUCAGUAACAAAUUAAUAAUUACAACUUUCAACAACGGAUCUCUUGGUUCUGGCAUCGAUGAAGAACGCAGCGAAAUGCGAUAAGUAGUGUGAAUUGCAGAAUUCAGUGAAUCAUCGAAUCUUUGAACGCACAUUGCGCCCUUUGGUAUUCCAAAGGGCAUGCCUGUUCGAGCGUCAUUUGUACCCUCAAGCUUUGCUUGGUGUUGGGCGUCUUGUCUCUAGCUUUGCUGGAGACUCGCCUUAAAGUAAUUGGCAGCCGGCCUACUGGUUUCGGAGCGCAGCACAAGUCGCACUCUCUAUCAGCAAAGGUCUAGCAUCCAUUAAGCCUUUUUUUCAACUUUUGACCUCG